rnacentral:lncRNA from 10 species
GGAAGUUACACUAAUCCAUGUGAGAGAUGAUGGUGACCUGCCCAGCAUUGGGAAGUAGGAAGGCAUGGGAAGUGCUUGAAUGCUGAGUGUGUUUUGCAGGCAGAGCUGACAGAAUUUUCUGACUGACCAAUGGGGUGUGAGAAGUGAGAGGCCAAGGAGGACACCCAGUAUUUUGAGCAACUGGAAGAACAGAGUUGCCAUUAACUUCUUGUUGACUAGAAUUUAAUCACAUGGCAUAGGAGGCAGAAUUCUAAGAAUUCUUCCUAUGAUCCUUGCCUUGGCAUAAUCCCUUUCUUCCUUUUUGAGGAUAGGUAGAAAUCAACAUGAUCUCACUCCUGAGAUUAUGUUCUGUUAUAAAGCAAAAGGAUUAUCCAGGUGGGUGUAAUCUAAUCACAAGCCCUUGAAAAUCAGUUUUUCUGGCUGCUGGGCAGAAGGGGAAGACAGAGAGUGUAUUAAUCAGGGUUCUCCAGAGAGGCAGAACCAAUAGAAAGGAUGGAUGAAUAGAUAGAUAGAUUAGAUAGAUAGAUAGAUAGAUAGAUAGAUAGAUAGAUAAAGGGGGUAUUUUUUAAAAAAGAGAUGGAGUCUCACUAGGAUGCCCAGGCUGUUCUUGAACUCCUGAGCUCAACUGAUUCUCCUGUGUCCACCUCCCAAAGUGCUGAGAUUACAGGCAUGAGCCACCACACCCAGCCAGAAAGUAUUUUUUAAUUAAGGUGUGUACUAUGUUUUUUUUAGGCAUAAUGAAUGCUAUUGCACAUGUAAUAGAUUACAGUAUAGUGUAAACAUAACUUUUACAUGCACUGGGAAACAAAAAAAUGUGAGCCAGUGCACCUGGCUGAGAGGGGAUUUAUUAGAGGAAUUGGCUCAUGUGAUUAUGGUAGGCAAAAAGUCCCACAAUGAGCCAUAUGCAAGCUGGAGACCCUGGGAUGCUGGUAGCAUGGCUCAAUCCAAGUCUGAAGGCCUCAGAACCAGGGAGGCCAAGGGUGUAACUCUCAGGCCGAGCCCAGAGGCCUGAGAACUCAGGGAGGGGAGCCACUGAUGUAAGUCCUGGAAUCCAAAGGCCGAGAAGUCUGGAGUUAUUGUCCAAGGACGGGAGAGGAAGAGUGUAUCCCAGCUCCAGCAGGUAGAUCAGCACAUUCAUUUUUGCCCUGGUUUUUCUUCUCUCCAAGCCCCCAGCAGAUUGAAUGGUGCCCACCCACAUUGCAGGCAGAUCUUUCCCACCUAGUCCACUGAGACUCACACACUAAUCUCCUCUGGAAACACCUUCACAGAGACACUCAAAAGAAUGCUUUAGUAGGUUUCUACGUUUUCCUUAAUCCAGUUAAGUUGACACCUAAAAUUAACCAUCAGAGAGAGAUUCCAAGCAUAAGAAAGGCACUGCACCAAGGCUGCCUUGAAGAUGUAGGGGACUGGCCAGGUGCAGUGGCUCACACCUGUAAUCUCAACACUUUGGAAGGUCAAGGAGGGCAGAUCACUUGAGGUCAGGAGUUCGAGACCAUCCUGGCCAACAUGGUGAAACCCCAUCUCUACUAAAAAUACAAAAAUUAGCCAGGCGUGGUGGUGCACACCUGUAAUCCCAGCUACUUGGGAGGCUGAGACAGGAGAAUCUCUUGAACCCAGGAGGCAGAGGUUGCAGUGAGCCAAGAUAGCAUCACUGCACUCCAGCCUGGGUGGCAGAGCAAGACUCUGUCUCAAAAAAAGAAAAAAAAAAGAAAGAAAAGAAAAGGUGUAGGGACCACAGGAAGUAUCCCGGCAGCCUCUGGGAACACAGAGCAGCCCCCGCUGCUCACAGCCAGGUAGGAAUCAGGAUCUCAGAUCUACAGCCACAAGGAACUGGAUUCUGCCAACCUGAAUGAGUCUAGAAGUAGAUUCUUUUCCAGAGCCCAGCCCAUGGACACCUUGGUAUCAGCCUUUUGGGACCCUGAGCAGAGAACCCAGCCAAGCCCAGACUUCUGACCUACAGAACUCUGAGAUAAUAAGUGGGUGUUGUUUUAAGCUGCUAAGUCUGUGGUCAUUUGUCACACUGCAAUAGAAAACAAACACAUAUGGCCACUCCUAACUGAGAGAGGUUGGUAAAUGGUGUCUCAAGCUGGAUAUUCAUGUGCAUUGCUAAACUUGGAGGAGGAGUUCUAUGAUGAAAGAAAGAGAAGCAUGAAUAUUAGGGAGAUGAUAAGACAUUCUUCCACACACUGUAAACCUGCCCUGUCCAAUACAGCACACACUAACCACAUGUGGGUAUCUUUUUUUUCUUUUUUUUUGAGAUAGAGUCUCACCCUGUCGCCCAGGCUGGAGUGCAAGGGUGUGAUCUUGGCUCACUGCAACCUCCACCUCCCAGGUUCAAGCAAUUCUCCCACCUCAGCCUCCAGAGUAUUUGGGAUUACAGGCACCUGCCAUCAUGCCUGGAUAAUUUUUGUACUUUUGUAGAGACAGGGUCUCGCUCUGUUACUUAGGCCGGAGUGCAGUGGUACAAUCUUGGCUCACUGCAACCCCAACCUCCUGGGCUCAAGUGAUCCUCCCAUUUCAGCUUCCUGAGUAGCUAGGACUACAGAUGCACACCACCACGCCUGGCUAAUUUUUGUAGAGACAGCCUCUUGCUAUGUUUCUUAGACUUGUCUCGAAUUCCUGGGCUCAAAUGAUCCACCAGCCUCAGCCUCCCAAAGUGCUGGGAUUGCAGGCAUGAGCCACUGCGCCUGGUCUAAAAACACCCUUUUCAUUCAGCACUAUAGGUUUUAAAAGGCAGUGUUCCCAUAAGAAAUAAUGGCAAAGAAAGGAACUCCCAGUCACAUUCAGCAAACCUGUUUUCCCAGCUACAUUCAUGCACUGGUUGAUGCAGGUAAGUGUACAGGGGAGGUUGAUGGAGAGAUAGGAGGGUCCUGGAAACAAAGGAAGACUGUGACAUUAGAUGACUGCAAUCGUGGAGACUCAGAUGGUGCUUGUACUACCACGGUUCAUCUUUUGAGUAUGGGCAUGUCAUAGUCUGGACCAGAAUCUAAAUUCUAGUAGCAAAGCAGGUAGGGUGGUUAUUGCAUAAGGAGGUAUCACAACCUGUCAUUUGGGGAGGGUGAGGGAAGGACUGGCUGUCACAGCUUAGCCUCACCAAGGACGUAUGUGUAGUGCCCUCUGGUGGCCUGCAAUGGCACGCAAGCCAGCCAAAUCAGAAUCCCCCAUCUCUCACCCCCCACACCCCCACCCUCCUCCCAGCCACCCCCAUCUCAGGCAAGACAAAGCCAGAGUCCUAACUGGUCUCCCUGCUUCCACUCCUGUCCACCAGAAUGAUUUGUUAAGAUCAUCAGAUCAUGUCACUCCUCUGCUCAAAAUUCAGGGUAAUUUCCCUUCUCCCUGAGUUAUUUAGCCACAGUACUCACAGUGGUCUCCAUGGCUGUACUCGGUAUGGCGCCUCCCAGCAACCUUUCUGUCUCCACUUCCUGCCCCUCUUCCGGCUGCUCACCCUGCUGUAGCCACACCGGGCUGCCUGCUCUUCCUCUGCCAGCAUAACCCACCAAGCACACUCCCACCUCUGCAUUUGCUGUCUCCCCCACCUGGAAUGCACAGAUGACUCCUUCAUGUCCUUCAUAUAUGUGUCAAAUAUCACCACAUCAUCUUUUGCACUAAAUUAAAAAACAGCCCUCCUCCCAGCACACUAUAUCCCCUUUAGCUGGAUUCAUUUUUUGCCAUAGUAUUUAAUACCAUCUGACGUAUUACAUAUGUAUUUACAUAUAUAUAUGUGUGUGUGUAUUUAUAUUUAUUACCUAUCUCCUACUACUAAACUUUCUGCUUUUUUGAAAAAGCAGAAACUUUGUUUUGUUCCCAGUUGAAUCCCCAGGAUCUAGAACAGUGUCUAGCCUAUAGUAGGUGCUCAAAUAUAUAUGUUGGGGAAAUAAAUGAAUCAAGAUCUGAAUAAUGAGCAGGCAUUGUAUGACCUUCAUUGUUUCUUUCUUGAAUAUUAAGACACUAUCACAAAAAGGACAUACAUCAGACAGAUGGUAUACAUCUCUUCGUGACUCAAUCUGCUGAACGAUGCAACUGUCACAGUAUCCAACAGGCAGGGUCUUACUCUGUCACCUGGCCUGGAGUACAGUGGCACAAUCACGCUUCACUGCAGCCUCAACCUCCCUGGCUCAAGCGAUCUUCCUACCUCAGGCUUCCAAGUAGUUGGGACAGGUAUGUGCCACCACGCCUGGCUAAUUUUUUGUAUUUUCUAUAGAGACAGGGUUUUGCUAUGUUGUCCCAGGCUGGUCUCGAACUCCUGGGCUCAAGUGAUCCACCCACCUCAAUCUUCCAAAGUGCUGGGACUACAGGUGUGACCCACCAUGCAUGGCCAGCAGGUCCUUUUAGAACCCCAACUAAGUUCAGAAUAUAGUUAAUUUGGUCCUCAGGCCUAUAUGAAGAAAUAUUACUGAUUUCAUCAAAGUCACAAUUUAUAGUGUACAUUCUUAAUCUUUUGGUUGUAAAAAGUCCCAUUUCACAACUGGGCUGAGAGUAUGAAAGCCCAGAUUGAAUGAAGAGGGAGUCCGUGGUGUGGAGAGGGGGACUGGUGGUGGUAAGAAUGGGGUGCUGGAGCCCAAGCAUGAGGAGAGUUUCCAUAGGAAAGUAGGGGUGGUGACUCUAGCUGCCCAGCUGAGAAUAUCAGAGUCCAAG